GGUUAUGGCUCAGCGGUAGAGCACUUAACUAGCAAGUAUGAGGCCCUGGGUUCGAUCCCCAGCACCA
rnacentral:tRNA from 1 species